rnacentral:rRNA from 1 species
CGGAUGGGUGAGUAACACGUGGGUAACCUGCCCUAAAGUCUGGGAUACCACUUGGAAACAGGUGCUAAUACCGGAUAACAACAAUAGCUGCAUGGCUAUUGCUUAAAAGGCGGCGAAAGCUGUCGCUAAAGGAUGGACCCGCGGUGCAUUAGCUAGUUGGUAAGGUAACGGCUUACCAAGGCGACGAUGCAUAGCCGAGUUGAGAGACUGAUCGGCCACAUUGGGACUGAGACACGGCCCAAACUCCUACGGGAGGCAGCAGUAGGGAAUCUUCCACAAUGGGCGAAAGCCUGAUGGAGCAACGCCGCGUGAGUGAAGAAGGUUUUCGGAUCGUAAAGCUCUGUUGUUGGUGAAGAAGGAUAGAGGUAGUAACUGGCCCCUAUUUGACGGUAAUCAACCAGAAAGUCACGGCUAACUACGUGCCAGCAGCCGCGGUAAUACGUAGGUGGCAAGCGUUGUCCGGAUUUAUUGGGCGUAAAGCGAGCGCAGGCGGAAAGAUAAGUCUGAUGUGAAAGCCCCCGGCUUAACCGAGGAAUUGCAUCGGAAACUGU